rnacentral:rRNA from 1 species
UGGGGAAUAUUGGACAAUGGGGGCAACCCUGAUCCAGCAAUGCCGCGUGUGUGAAGAAGGCCUGCGGGUUGUAAAGCACUUUAGGUAACGAGGAAGGGUGUUGUGUUAAUAGCACAAUACAUUGACGUUAGUUACAGAAUAAGCACCGGCUAACUCUGUGCCAGCAGCCGCGGUAAUACAGAGGGUGCAAGCGUUAAUCGGAAUGACUGGGCGUAAAGGGCGCGUAGGUGGCAGCUUAAGUUAGAUGUGAAAUCCCCGGGCUUAACCUGGGAACUGCAUUUGAUACUGGGCAGCUAGAGUAUGGGAGAGGGCAGUGGAAUUUCCGGUGUAGCGGUGAAAUGCGUAGAUAUCGGAAGGAACACCAGUGGCGAAGGCGACUGCCUGGCCUGAUACUGACACU